UACGCCGGGGAUAACAGGCUGAUGACUCCCAAGCGUCCAUAGCGACGGAGUUGUUUGGCACCUCGAUGUCGACUCAUCGCAUCCUGGGGCUGGAGCAGGUCCCAAGGGUAUGGCUGUUCGCCAUUUAAAGCGGUACGUGAGUUGGGUUCAGAACGUCGUGAGACAGUUCGGUCCCUAUCUGCCGUGGGUGUAGGAAUAUUGAGAGGAUCUGUCCCUAGUACGAGAGGACCGGGAUGGACGUAUCUCUGGUGGACCUGUUGUGGCGCCAGCCGCAUAGCAGGGUAGCUAUAUACGGAACGGAUAACCGCUGAAGGCAUCUAAGCGGGAAACCGACCUCAAAACGAGUAUUCCCUGAGAGCCGUGGUAGACGACCACGUUGAUAGGCCGGGUGUGGAAGAGCGGCAACGCUUGAAGCUUACCGGUACUAAUAACUCGAUUGGCUUGAUUGUUCUCAUU
rnacentral:rRNA from 1 species